rnacentral:lncRNA from 1 species
GAACCCUAGGAGAGAGGAGCUUUGUUAGAGAGAGAGACAAAGAUAAGAGAUGAGAGGGAGAACCAUGGUGGUGUUUUUGAUUAAUGGUGUUGAUGGUGGUGGUUCCGACUAAGGGGUGUGGUGGUUGUCGACGGUGAGCAGUGGUGGUGGUGGAUGUAGUCGGCGACGGUGACGACGGUUAGGGUUUCACAUGUGUCGGUUGCGAGUUAGUGGUCACCGGUGAGUACCUAGAGAGAAGUUUUGAUGAUGCUGCCUGUUAUGGAAGGAGUUUGAUUGUUCAUAGAGAUGGAUCUGAUACACUAUGAACAAAGAAAUGAGGCGAUUUAAGAGGGGAUGGUUUCUUAGGGUGGUUGCCCUUCUCAAUCAAGUCCGCUUUUGACUUAAUUCAAGUCAGCCAUCCUUCUUUGACGCCCAUGAUUCUCUUCAUUCACCAAUAACCCUUCAUCUGAUACACACAUGUUGAAGAUGGAAAUAAUAUCCAUUUUGAAAGAGGCUAUGAUGAUGAGUUUCAAUGCGUCUGAGUUAAUUCUAGCAAAUGUGAGAUUUUCCGCAUCUUGGCGGGGUAACCAAAUGGUUAUGUGAUUCAUCUCUGUUUUCACAUGGCAAUCUAUAAAAAUCAUGGAUUAAGUUCCAGAUUAUCAUAUGCUGUCUCUUGAAGAUGAAAAUAUGAUCCAUUUUGAAAGGGGCUAUGAUGAGUUUCAAUGCUCCUGAGUGAAUAUGAGCAAAGAUGAGAUUUUGCACCAUCUUGCCGGGGCAACCGGUCCAGUCAUGUGAAAAACUGAAAGUCUGAUUUGACAUGGUAACCGUUGUGGUUAAAAAAAGUUUUAUCACUCAUUGUUUACAAGCUUGAUGAGUUUGUUAGCUACUAACCAACGCCGCGAGGAUGAUGAUUGAAGACAACUGACUAGAGACACUACUGGAGAUAAAAUUUCUUUUGUGCAUUUUUAUGUGUAUUCGUUUUUAUGGUAAGAUGUUGUUUACUUAUAUUAACAUGUCUUGAAGAGGUGUAAAUUGACGAAACAAUAGAAUACGAAACAUAUAACAUUAAAAAGUUUACCUUAAAUUCACGGUAAGCAGUAAAGAGUUAUGGGACUGACAUGUUUUUUCUUUAAUUUAACCAUUGAUGUGUAUUUUCAAGUCCAGAUUCAGAUUGCAAAAUAGCCACUAAACUGUCUAUUGAAUAGGUACAUAUUACAUAUGCGUAUGCUUCUUUUUGCUAUAGAGUACGAUUUGAGCACCUGUGUUAUCUAUAAUUGAGAUUUAUUUACGUUGUUCACACUUUUUUCAACGUCUAUGCAGAUUUUAAUUUUUAUUUGCAUUUGGUGGAAUUGAAUGCAGCCCAUGAACUCAGAAUUCAGCCUUUACGCUCUAUGGUAUAGGUUUGUGAUUUGGUAAAUGAACUUUUUUGAAGGAUUUGAGAGCCGACAGAAACGGAAUACUCUAACUCAAGACGGGAAUGAACAAAAGGAGAUGGUCACCAGACGGAAUGAAGUUGUGGGCUUAGCGGCUAAAUCACGCACUCGGAAACAGGUAUGGGUUGAAAGUUGAAACCAAUAGAAUUGAGGACCUGUCGUAUCCACAUAACAUAAUAUGUAAGGGUGAAGAUGGGGUCUCUAAGAUGUCUAUUUGGUCACUGAACCAUACACAAAAGCAUAUGGACCACCAUAAUGUGCUCCACUAGAUGGAUGUUCGACUAACACACCUGAAUGGAACGAAUUAAGGUAACGAAGAUUUUGUUUGGCGACUUUUAAAUCGAUAUUAGAAGUCUACAUGUGACAGAAAACAUGUUAUUGGAGAAAUCAACAUGGUUUUUCUUUUAGAUAACAUAGAUUUCAUGUAUAAUUUUUUUAUAUGAAUGGAAGUUUUGAAAAUUUGAUCUAAUAAAAGAUAAUAGAUGGGAGUUCUAGAGAAUUUGCAAUGUAA